CAGAAUUUUCAUUUUUGGGUGAACUAUCCCUUUAAGGAUAUAGAUACAUAAAGAGCUCUCUGCAGUGUUAGGAUGUUUUAAAGCAUAUCGCGUUUUUAUAAUCUCUGAAGCAUUUGAUCGGGUUGCUCGUUUGCCUUAAUUAGAUAUUCACCAUUUACCAUUUUUUUUUCCAUGUAUCUCUUCCUUUAUGAUACUUAAUGUGAUUUACAUUGUAAAUUAUUUUCCACUGUUUCGGCUACACAGAAACAUGCUGUCUUUCUCAGGCUGCGCUGUCUAAUUCUGGGAUGUGGGAGCUCAUGCUAAGGAUUAGCAUUAGUCAGGGUCGUCCUGCAGAGAAAAAAACGGAAUAUUGGUAUAAAUAUCAAAGGGAUGACUGUGUGUGACACUGACAAAUUGCAGUUGAGGCGCCAUUAAUUAAACGGGAUCAGUAAUGUGUGUUUAAAUGAAUUUACUGUUGCAUUAUUGAUUCGCUCGCCGCACAAAUUAUCUUUCGAGGUGCAUAUGGAGGUUGCGGAUCCGGCUCCCCGUGAAGGAUUUGUCAGGGUGAGGUCUGUGGAUGUGAUCUAGGCCUAAGGAUGUGCCCGUCCCCAUUUAUCUGCCGAGGAAAGCCUGGGGGGAUAGAGGAGGGGUGGCGGUGCUUGCCGGCUUUGUUUGCAUUCAAACUGCAGAUAACAAGGAAGCCCGAGCGAUGGCUCAGAGAAAUCACUGGCGCUGCCCAUGCUGCCAGAAUGAACGGUGAAUUAGAGAGGGCAAGAUCGAGUCUGUCCAUGCAUCCCAGCAUGCCCCUGGGCUCUGGCGGAGUGAAGGAGAGAGUGCGUUAACACGCAGCAAUUUGUCAGGACAGCAGCCUUCUCUGAAUUGCAGUUCAUUGACAGGAUAGCUUUGGGUGUGUGGUGAGGUUGGCUAGAUUCCCAUGGCACAGAGAGCAGCUGCCUGAGUUUCGGGGCUCUGGAUAAAACUGUUAUUCUUCCCUGCCGAGAGAGCAUAAUGACAGUAGGGCCCUUUGGGCCUGCCAGCCAUCUGCAGGUCCAAGUCCGCAGGUUAAGCAUGACCAGGUGCGGGAGAAAAGUCUUCUUGCUUCCUCUCAGCUGAUUAGUGGAGCUGGUUCAUUGGUGCAAAUGAGGAAGCUUUUAUCCUGCUUGAGUAUAAUCUGCUUGCAUCUUUAUUGGCUAAAAGCAGGCAUGAUGCUGGCAUGACCCAGACUGGCCCAGGUACUGUCCUCAAAAAGAAUACUGACACUAAUGUCUUCUGACACACACAUCCCCCCAUGCCCUUCCCGUUAAAGGUACACACACACAGAUACGCUGCAGAAAGAAAUCUCCAAAGCCUAUGCAUGCACUUUUCAAUUACACUGUUUGUGAAAAAAUAUUUUAAAAAAUAUACACCGUAUUAUCGCAGCGAAGGGGAACGCUUUAUAGCUGUCGGCUUUGGUGUAAUGGCUGCCUGUUUUCUUCUUAUCCUCUUUUGUCCUUAAAAUACGCUGCCUUGCCUAGCUGCACAGAUCCUUGGAGCAUCUUUCCUAUCUGUCCGUUCUUCUCUAUGCUGCAACACAGCCUGUUAUUUCAAGGAAAGUGCAACCUUUGCCUUGGGCUUUAAUUAUGUUCAAUUUGCCAAGCCGAGCCUGAAAAAUUCAGAGGGUAAAAAAGCUCUAUGACCUAUUUAUUAAUGCUGCGUUGGGUCUAAAGCUACACUGAGAUCAGCACUGCAUCACUCAACAAUAACACCCAUCUCUGGAGAACAGAACACUUCAGUCGCGCUGUACUCCUCUCUUAAAGCACCAAAAUCAUUAUUUUAUAAUAGAUCACUGACCAGUUAAAUGAAUUUAUCAUUAUUAAAAUAAAUGUGAAAUUUAGUAGCUGAGCGUGAUCUGUCUUUGGCCUAUAUUAUUUAAAAGAAAUUAUCUAAGAAUCUAUUCUAAUUUAUUCUAUAUUAUUUUUUAACAUAUUUUUUUUCAAACAAGGCGAUCGAUUUUUGGCAGGUUUUUUGUGUUCCUUGUACUGUUUGGUGGAGCUCUGCUCUAUCUAAAGCAGUAAAAGAGAGAAUUCUUUGUGUCGAUACUGAAGGAAAAGCAUGAAUGAUUUAUGGGUCAAUCUGAAGGUUUCCCCAGCAGUGCAGUCACUUCUUCAGCCCUACAGCAGGCAGAGACCCCCUUCCACCCACUGCAGUCAUACAAAUGAGAACGUUCUCCAGCCAAGGCAUUUGACAAUUAGUUUUAUUUUUAGAGCUUGUCCGAUUUAACGAUUAAGGCAAGCGUUUGUUAUAGUCAGGGAGACUGAAAGCAUCAGAAAUAGAGAGAGAGAAUGUGUGCCAUUUGUUUAUUAUGCCACAACUGAUUUAGUUUAAAAAUAUGUGAGGAAUAUUAUGACAUGUUUGACGUUAUACAAAUUUUAUGUGCAUGAUUGAUAGGUAAUGGGAGUAUUUUCUGUCUAGAGUGUGUGGAAUAUUUUACAAACAUUAGAUUUAUCUGAAGAGGCAUCGUUAUUUUAUAAAUUAGAUUUUAGUGAAGUAAAAAUGGUUGGAAUAUUGUUCAUUUAUGCUGUUAUAACAAGUUAUAUAUUACAUAUAUUUAACACACACACUAAACAAGGUUGGCCUUUGUCCUCCGUGCUAGUCGCUCAAAUAUUAAGUGUGCAGGAUUCUGACAUGUAUUGUAUUGUGUGUUGUAUUCAUCAUUUAUGUGUGUGUGUGUGUGAGAGAGAGAGAGAGGAGAUUCCACACCUCUCCAUCUUUACAAUACAACUGUGUGGGAAAGAUGUUAUCAAGGUUAUAUUCAGUUCAUAUGUCAACAUCAUGAAUUACUUUAUUUAGAGAGCAACCACUUUGUUAUUACAGUCACUGUUCAUCCAGAAUACAAAAGGCAUCAUGUAAAUUUACUGAUGAUAGGUUUGGGGUGUUAAUUUGUAGUUAUAAUAGAUAGAAAGCAAAAUAUCUACUGAGAUCUACUGCGUUGCUAUGUUUUUUACACGCUGUUACCCUGAAGCCUACACUUCAAGUGAAGUGUGUUUGUCCCGCUCACCUUUCUUAACCGGUUUCCUUACUGAAAACACAGAGGAUUCUGAGAGCUUACAUUAUUUGAUGCCAAUAAUGACUGAUUUAUUUUUGAAUGUUUCUAAAAGCAAUUUUCUUUGG